CAACAGGGAUUGCCUCAGUAACGGCGAGUGAAGCGGCAGCAGCCCAGAUUUGAAAUCGGCCCCGGCCGAGUUGUAAUCUGCAGAGGGUCUUCAUAUCCAGGGCCCCCCCGGGGGCGACGGGCGGUCCGAGUCCCUUGGAACGGGACGCCACAGAGGGUGAGAGCCCCGUACGGCCGCGACCGAAACCUGCGAGAAGGCCUCUCGACGAGUCGAGUUGUUUGGGAAUGCAGCUCCAAACGGGUGGUAAAUUCCAUCCCAGGCUAAAUACCGGCUGGAGACCGAUAGCGCACAAGUAGAGUGAUCGAAAGAUGAAAAGCACUUUGGAAAGAGGGUGAAAAAGUACGUGAAAUUGUUGAAGGGGAAGCGCUUGCGGCCAGACUCUGGCGUGGGAACUCGGCGUGGCCUCCGGCCCCGUCGCACCCCCCACGCUGGGGCCAGCAUCGGCUCGGUGGGCCCCUUAAUGGCCGCGGUAACGUGGCGCCCCUCGGGGCGCGUUACAGACCGCGGCACGAGUGGGGCCUCGCCGGGCCGAGGGCAGCGACUCUAGGAUGCUGGCGCAAUGGCCGCAAGCGGCCCGUCUUGAAACACGGACCAAGGAGUCUAACAUCUGUGCGAGUGUUUGGGUGUCAAGCCCGGACGCGCAAUGAAAGUGAACGGAGGUGGGAGCUUCGGCGCACCAUCGACCGGUCCCGAUGUCUUCGGAAGGAUCUGAGUAAGAGCACAUGUGUUGGGACCCGAAAGAUGGUGAACUAUGCCUAAAUAGGGUGAAGCCAGAGGAAACUCUGGUGGAGGCUCGCAGCGGUUCUGACGUGCAAAUCGAUCGUCAAAUUUGGGUAUAGGGGCGAAAGACUAAUCG
rnacentral:rRNA from 1 species